CUCUCCGUAGCUCAGUUGGCAGAGCAGCUGACUCUUAAUCAGCGGGUCGUAGGUUCGAGCCCUACCGGGGAGA
rnacentral:tRNA from 2 species